rnacentral:rRNA from 1 species
UACGUAGGGUGCGAGCGUUGUCCGGAAUUAUUGGGCGUAAAGAGCUCGUAGGCGGUUUGUUGCGUCUAUCGUGAAAACCUGCAGCUUAACUGUGGGCUUGCGGUGGAUACGGGCAGACUUGAGUUCGGUAGGGGAGACUGGAAUUCCUGGUGUAGCGGUGAAAUGCGUAGAUAUCCGGAGGAACACCGGUGGCGAAGGCGGCUUCCUGGACCGACACUGACGCUGAGGCGCGAAAGCUAGGGGAGCAAACGGG